GACGAACGCUGGCGGCGUGCUUAACACAUGCAAGUCGAACGGAAAGGCCCUGCUUGUGUGGGGUGCUCGAGUGGCGAACGGGUGCGUAACACGUGAGUAACCUGCCCUUGACUUUGGUAUAACUUCAGGAAACUGGGGCUAAUACCGGAUAGCAGCUCCUGCUGCAUGGUGGGGGUUGGAACGUUUCGGCGGUUGGGGAUGGACUCGCGGCUUAUCAGCUUGUUGGUGGGGUAGUGGCUUACCAAGGCUUUGACGGGUAGCCGGCCUGAGAGGGUGACCGGCGACAUGGGGCCUGCGAGAGGGACCAGACUCCUACGGGAGGCAGCAGUGGGGAAUAUGGCACAAUGGGCGGAAGCCUGAUGCAGCGACGCCGCGUGCGGGAUGCCGGCCUUCGGGUUGUAAACCGCUUUCGCCUGUGACGAAGCGUGAGUGACGGUAAUGGGUAAAGAAGCACCGGCUAACUACGUG
rnacentral:rRNA from 1 species